UUACCUGAUGCAGAGAGCAAAGCGCUGCAAGAGUUCAAACUUCUUGUUCAGACCGCGCUCAACAACCAUGAAUUCUCUGCGCCUGACAAUCCGCCGCCGCAAGGGAGAAAAAAUUCUGAUGGCGCGGAAAACCAGCCAGAUAAACCUUCAAAACCACCAGUUGCUGAUGUUGCUGGAGAGCCUGCGCCACCACCGGAAGAGGAAUCUGAUGAUGUCAAAGGCAGCGAUGAUGAACCUUCAAAACCACCACUUGCUGAUGUUGGUAAAGCGACGGUGCCACCACUGGAAGAAGAAUCUGAGCCCGCCGCCGCCGCGGAAAAAGAAGAAGCAGAGGCUGUUGCAGGAGGAGAAUCAGAAGUGAAGGAAACAACAACCAAGGUGGUG
rnacentral:lncRNA from 1 species